rnacentral:rRNA from 1 species
GGAGUCCUACGGGACGCAGCAGUGAGGAAUAUUGGUCAAUGGGCGGGAGCCUGAACCAGCCAAGUCGCGUGAGGGAAGACGGUCCUACGGAUUGUAAACCUCUUUUGCCGGGGAGCAACGGGGUCCUUGCGAGGGCCCGAUGAGAGUACCCGGAGAAAAAGCAUCGGCUAACUCCGUGCCAGCAGCCGCGGUAAUACGGAGGAUGCGAGCGUUAUCCGGAUUUAUUGGGUUUAAAGGGUGCGUAGGCGGUCCGUUAAGUCAGCGGUAAAAUUGCGGGGCUCAACCUCGUCGAGCCGUUGAAACUG